rnacentral:tRNA from 1 species
UUAAACCGAAGGCCUUCAAAGCCUUAAACAAGAGUUAAACCCUCUUAGUUUCUG